rnacentral:misc_RNA from 1 species
AAGUCGUAACAAGGUCUCCGUAGGUGAACCUGCGGAGGGAUCAUUACUGAGUGAGGGCCUUCGGGCUCGACCUCCAACCCUUUGUGAACACAACUUGUUGCUUCGGGGGCGACCCUGCCGGUUCGACGGCGAGCGCUCCCGGAGGCCUUCAAACACUGCAUCCUUGCGUCGGAGUUUAAGUAAAUUAAACAAAACUUUCAACAACGGAUCUCUUGGUUCUG